GAUGAACGCUAGCGGGAGGCCUAACACAUGCAAGCCGAGCGGUAGAGUUUCUUCGGAAACUUGAGAGCGGCGCACGGGUGCGUAACACGUGUGCAACCUACCUUUAUCUGGGGGAUAGCCUUUCGAAAGGAAGAUUAAUACCCCAUAAUAUAAUGAUUGGCAUCAAUUAUUAUUGAAAACUCCGGUGGAUAGAGAUGGGCACGCGCAAGAGUAGAUAGUUGGUGAGGUAACGGCUCACCAAGUCAAUGAUCUUUAGGGGUCCUGAGAGGGAGAUCCCCCACACUGGUACUGAGACACGGACCAGACUCCUACGGGAGGCAGCAGUGAGGAAUAUUGGACAAUGGGUGAGAGCCUGAUCCAGCCAUCCCGCGCGAAGGAUGACGGUCCUAUGGAUUGUAAACUUCUUUUGUACAGGGAUAAACCUACCCCCGUGAGGGUAGCUGAAGGUACUGUACGAAUAAGCACCGGCUAACUCCGU
rnacentral:rRNA from 1 species